rnacentral:rRNA from 1 species
AGUGAACGCUGGCGGCGUGCCUAAUACAUGCAAGUCGAACGAAGUGGCGCACGGGUGAGUAAUAUAUAGUUAAUCUGCCCUACACAGAGGAACAACAGUUGGAAACGACUGCUAAUACCUCAUAGUGUAGGAUGAGACUAUAUCGUAUCAGCUAGUUGGUAAGGUAAUGGCUUACAAAGGCUAUGACGCGGAGCUGGUCUGAGAGGAUGACCAGUCACAUUGUACCUGAGACACGGUCCAAGCUCCUACGGGGGGCAGCAGUAAGGAAUAUUGCACGAUGGGGGACACCCUGAUGCAGCAACCCCGCGUGCGGGAUGACUGCCUUCGGGUUGUAAACCGCUUUCAGCCAUGACGCGGUAGUGGCAGAAGAAGCACCGGCUAACUACGUGCCAGCCGCCGCGGUAAUAC